UAUAUUUUUUGGGUAGAAAAACCCAAGGAAUAUAAUGGUGACAUUGGGUUGCACUUUUGAGAAAGUUUGCAAAAAUGUCAUUUUGUGAUGAGGUGACAUUUUGUCAUUUUUGUGGGAUUAAUUAUAUGCAUGCUAUGAAGUUUUUGCCAACAUAAAAGUUCUGGAUUUUUAUGUUUACUAGGGAUUGGGGUUUUUGUUUAGCAUGAUACUCUUGUGAAUAGGUCGAUCCUUUUCUAUUUUCAAGUGUUGGAACCAUUAUAUUCAUGCCCGGUUGAUUUGGCGCUAGUAAGUUUUUUGUGGCGGUUUUUUUCAUAGGAAUGUAUAAGUAUGAUCCCCUGGUGUGUAUGCCAAGUGGCCCCCUUUUUCUUUUUUUGUAUUGUUUUAUUCUCUGUUUUUUAAUAUUUCCAUUUUAGGAAAAUGUCCAGAUAUGGGCAUGGCCAUAUUUGGCAGUAGCCAAAAGGGGUUGAUGUGACUUAUAAGUCAAAUGGGAUUGUAGGGCAUUUUUUCUUUUCAGUUUUGUGGCGGUUUUUUCCAUAGGAAUGUAUAAGUAUGAUAUAUAUUUUUUGGGUAGAAAAACCCAAGGAAUAUAAUGGUGACAUUGGGUUGCACUUUUGAGAAAGUUUGCAAAAAUGUCAUUUUGUGAUGAGGUGACAUUUUUUCAUUUUUGUGGGAUUAAUUAUAUGCAUGCUAUGAAGUUUUUGCCAACAUAAAAGUUCUGGAUUUUUAUGUUUACUAGGGAUUGGGGUUUUUGUUUAGCAUGAUACUCUUGUGAAUAGGUCGAUCCUUUUCUAUUUUCAAGUGUUGGAACCAUUAUAUUCAUGCCCGGUUGAUUUGGCGCUAGUAAGUUUUUUGUGGCGGUUUUUUUCAUAGGAAUGUAUAAGUAUGAUCCCCUGGUGUGUAUGCCAAGUGGCCCCCUUUUUCUUUUUUUGUAUUGUUUUAUUCUCUGUUUUUUAAUAUUUCCAUUUUAGGAAAAUGUCCAGAUAUGGGCAUGGCCAUAUUUGGCAGUAGCCAAAAGGGGUUGAUGUGACUUAUAAGUCAAAUGGGUUUGUAGGGCAUUUUUUCUUUUCAGUUUUGUGGCGGUUUUUUUCAUAGGAAUGUAUAAGUAUGAUAUAUAUUUUUUGGGUAGAAAAACCCAAGGAAUAUAAUGGUGACAUUGGGUUGCACUUUUGAGAAAGUUUGCAAAAAUGUCAUUUUGUGAUGAGGUGACAUUUUUUCAUUUUUGUGGGAUUAAUUAUAUGCAUGCUAUGAAGUUUUUGCCAACAUAAAAGUUCUGGAUUUUUAUGUUUACUAGGGAUUGGGGUUUUUGUUUAGCAUGAUACUCUUGUGAAUAGGUCGAUCCUUUUCUAUUUUCAAGUGUUGGAACCAUUAUAUUCAUGCCCGGUUGAUUUGGCGCUAGUAAGUUUUUUGUGGCGGUUUUUUCCAUAGGAAUGUAUAAGUAUGAUCCCCUGGUGUGUAUGCCAAGUGGCCCCCUUUUUCUUUUUUUGUAUUGUUUUAUUCUCUGUUUUUUAAUAUUUCCAUUUUAGGAAAAUGUCCAGAUAUGGGCAUGGCCAUAUUUGGCAGUAGCCAAAAGGGGUUGAUGUGACUUAUAAGUCAAAUGGGAUUGUAGGGCAUUUUUUCUUUUCAGUUUUGUGGCGGUUUUUUUCUUAGGAAUGUAUAAGUAUGAUAUAUAUUUUUUGGGUAGAAAAACCCAAGGAAUAUAAUGGUGACAUUGGGUUGCACUUUUGAGAAAGUUUGCAAAAAUGUCAUUUUGUGAUGAGGUGACAUUUUUUCAUUUUUGUGGGAUUAAUUAUAUGCAUGCUAUGAAGUUUUUGCCAACAU
rnacentral:lncRNA from 1 species